GCAGACACUUCCUGGCUCUGCUCAGCGCGGCCCAGCCUCCCCAGCCGCCCGGGAGGAGUACCCGGCCCAAGCGCGUCGCGCAGGCAGUCGCCUCCCAACGCCCCCGGCCCUCGGCCGGCCACUCACGGGUAGGCAUGGCGAUCUCGACCGCGCUCGCCGCCGCACCGAGGCUCAGCGGGGCCGCGCAGGGAGCGCCGACGGCACCAUGACGGCCGUUGCUGGGCCGCGGAGGCCGGAACGAGGCGAAGGGCGAAGGGCGAAGGGUGGAGGGAGCGGACGCGGACCCCGCGGUCACGCAACCAAGCG
rnacentral:lncRNA from 1 species